rnacentral:rRNA from 1 species
CGAACCCUUCGGGGUGAGUGGCGCACGGGUGCGUAACACGUGGCCAAUAUACACAUAGGUAAGGAAUAACACAGAGAAAUUUGUGCUAAUACCUUAUAAUAACUCCGGUUCAAAGAUUUAUCGCCUAUGGAUUAGCCCGCGCUAGAUUAGUUUGUUGGUGAGGUAAAAGCUCACCAAGACUACGAUCUAUAGCUGGUCUUAGAGGAUGAUCAGCCACACUGGAACUGAGACACGGUCCAGACUCCUACGGGAGGCAGCAGUGAGGAAUAUUGCGCAAUGGAGGAAACUCUGACGCAGCCAUGCCGCGUGAAUGAAGAAGGCCCUAGGGUUGUAAAAUUCUUUCAGAUGCGAAGAUAAUGACGGUAACAUCAGAAGAAGCUCCGGCUAAAUUCGUGCCAGCAGCCGCGGUAAUACGAAUGGAGCGAGCGUUGUUCGGAAUCAUUGGGCGUAAAGCGUAUGUAGGCGGACUAGAAAGUCAGAAGUGAAAUCCCGAGGCUCAACCUCGGAAUUGCUUUUGAAACUCCUAGUCUAGUGUCCCGGAGGGGUUGACGGAAUUCCUAGUGUAGAGGUGAAAUUCGCAGAUAUUAGGAGGAACACCAGUGGCGUAGGCGGU